rnacentral:rRNA from 1 species
UACGUAGGGUGCAAGCGUUGUCCGGAAUUAUUGGGCGUAAAGAGCGUGUAGGCGGCCCGAUUAGUCCGCUGUGAAAGUCCAGGGCUCAACCCUGGAAUGCCGGCGGAUACUGUCGGGCUAGAGUCCGGAAGGGGCGAGUGGAAUUCCUGGUGUAGCGGUGAAAUGCGCAGAUAUCAGGAGGAACACCAAUGGCGAAGGCAGCUCGCUGGGACGUGACUGACGCUGAGACGCGAAAGCGUGGGGAGCAAACAGG